UUGGUGAGGUAACGGCUCACCUAGGCAGUGAUAGGUAGGCGGCCUUAACGGGUGGUCGCCCACACUGGGAUUGAGAUACGGCCCAGACUCCUACGGGAGGCAGCAGUCGAGAAUAGUCUACAAUGGUCGGAAGACUGAUAGUGCGACGCCGCGUGAACGAUGAAUCCCUUCGGGGUGUAAAGUUCUUUUAUAUGUGAGCAGUGCUUCUUAUAUUAAGAGUAUGGGGAGAGAGAUAUUAGCAUAUGAAUAAGCAACGGCUAACUCCGUGCCAGCAGCCGCGGUAACACGGGGGUUGCGAGCGUUGUCCGGAAUUACUAGGCGUAAAGGGCAGGCAGGCGGAUCCAUAAGUUUAUCGUUUAAGGCGUCGGCUUAACCGGCGUAGGGCGGUAGAUACUGUGGAUCUGGAAUGCGGUUGGGGAAGACAGAAUUCCUGGUGUAGCGGUGGAAUGCGCAGAGAUCAGGAGGAAUACCGAAGGCGAAGGCAGUCUUCCAAGCCGUUAUUGACGCUCAACUGCGAAGGUGUGGGUAUCAAACAGGAUUAGAUACCCUGGUAGUCCACACAGUAAACGAUAAUCACUGGGUGUCGGGUUCGCA
rnacentral:rRNA from 1 species